rnacentral:rRNA from 1 species
UACGUAGGGUGCAAGCGUUAAUCGGAAUUACUGGGCGUAAAGCGUGCGCAGGCGGUGAUGUAAGACAGAUGUGAAAUCCCCGGGCUCAACCUGGGAACUGCAUUUGUGACUGCAUCGCUGGAGUACGGCGCAGAGGGGGAUGGAAUUCCGCGUGUAGCAGUGAAAUGCGUAGAUAUGCGGAGGAACACCGAUGGCGAAGGGCAAUCCCCCUGGGCCUG